CUGCAGUGAUGAGUUUUUGGAAUGACCUGGUAUUGCCUCCUUCAGGGGAAAGCUCUGACCAGGGAAUGAUUUUAAACUUUAAUCUUCUCUCUGAGCAG